rnacentral:pre_miRNA from 1 species
AUAAUACUCCCUCCGUCCGGAAUUACUUGUCAUCAAAACGGAUGUAUCUAGAACUAAAAUACAUCUAGAUACAUCCAUUUCGAUGACAAGUAUUUUUGGACAGAGGGAGUAAUAG